rnacentral:rRNA from 1 species
GACGAACGCUGGCGGCGUGCUUAACACAUGCAAGUCGAACGGAAAGGCCCUGCUUUUGUGGGGUGCUCGAGUGGCGAACGGGUGAGUAACACGUGAGUAACCUGCCCUUGACUUUGGGAUAACUUCAGGAAACUGGGGCUAAUACCGGAUAGGAGCUCCUGCUGCAUGGUGGGGGUUGGAAAGUUUCGGCGGUUGGGGAUGGACUCGCGGCUCAUCAGCUUGUUGGUGGGGUAGUGGCUUACCAAGGCAUUGACGGGUAGCCGGCCUGCGAGGGUGACCGGCCACAUUGGGACGGAGAUACGGCCCAGACUCCUACGGGAGGCAGCAGUGGGGAAUAUUGCACAAUGGGCGGAAGCCUGAUGCAGCAACGCCGCGUGCGGGAUGACGGCCUUCGGGUUGUAAACCGCUUUCGCCUGUGACGAAGCGUGAGUGACGGUAAUGGGUAAAGAAGCACCGGCUAACUACGUG